rnacentral:sRNA from 1 species
UCGGCGUGGAGGGUGGCCUGAAGGUCCGGC